rnacentral:lncRNA from 1 species
UGUCACAAUGCAAGCUUUGUUCUGAAAAAGAAUCUCAUAGAUUUUAUAGGCUCUAGAAGGAGAGUGACAUUCCAAUUUUCUCCCAAUUCUAUUGGAAGGUCAAUCUUAAAUGCUGUAUAGGAGGAUCUCAUUGAGAAGAUAUCAUUUGAGCAAAGAUGUAAAGCAAGGGAGGGAAUGAGUCAGUGGCUACAUAGCGAGAGUGUCCUAGGCAGAGGAAACAGCUUCUACAAAAGCCCUGAAGCAAGAGAAUGUUUGAAGUGUUCAAGAAUAAACAGGAGAUGCAGAAUGAAUGGAAUUGAGAGUGAGUGAGGCAGUCGGAUACAAGAGAGACUAAUAUGGGGCAGCACUGAAGACUGCUGACAGCAGCCACAUGAGUGAGCUCAGAGUGGACACAACAGCCCCUUCAGAGGCUGCAGGGAUGGCAGACAGCCUGACUGCAAUGUCGUGAAAGAUGCUGAGGCAGAACCAUGCAGCAAAGUCAUUCCCAGAUUCCUGACUCUCAGAAAAUGUUGUUACUUUAGAGAAGUCUGAACUUGCCCUUUUUUUCAUCUUUAUGCCUGAGGAAAUUUUUCUUUAUCAUCAAAGAACUCUGAGAAUUGAUGGGCACUGUGUUAGAGCAAGUGGGAAGUAUAGACACAGCUUCCCAUGUUAAGCACGAGCAAGAAGAAAAUAAUUUGAAUGGAAACUAUUCAAAUAUAUCACAGUGAUCAAAGAUUUAAAAGUGGAUGAAAAGAGACAGCUCAAGAACCCAAUUCAGAAGACAGCAUAGCUCAAGGAGUAAGCGGUGAAAACCAGGACUCAAUUCCUGCUCCAUGACUACAUUUGGAACUUCACUGCUGAGUUUCCGGUUCUGCUAGAGCUUCCAAGAAUGGUGGGCUAAAGUCCCUUUCCUCGAUAAUCUCAUUUCUCAUGGUUUUCUACUUAAAGCAAUACUGUCUAUGAAGUGCAACCUGGCUCUUCCUUCUCCCGUAAUCAUUGCCUCUCUGGAUUUUCCUUCUUCCAAGACUCCCUUUCCUGAUUCCCUUUAACACCCCUUUCAUAAUUCACAUCCAGAGAGUUCUCUGCAAUCACCUACCCAUCCCAAUCUCCAUUAUUUAUUUCAUGUUAUUACCUUUCACAAUUCAUAUAGUAAAUGUUACUUAGAACAGAGGCUGCUCUAGUGUUUCAUUGAUUUGUCUCAUUUUAUUUCUGGUCAUUGAAUGGCACAGUGAUAUCACAUGAGGUUGGACAGAGUUAUUUUCCAUCGCCAUCAUAAAGCUUUAUGACUAUAAGUGGGUUUGUCUUUUACCAGUUCACUGUCUUCCUCUAAAGAUGGUCUCUCCUAUCUCUUGCGUAGGACGCACUAAUCACUAAUGUCCC